AUUGAACGCUGGCGGCAGGCCUAACACAUGCAAGUCGAGCGAGCGGCGGACGGGUGAGUAAUGUAUGGGGACUGCCCGAUAGAGGGGGAUAACUACUGGAAACGGUGGCUAAUACCGCAUACUAUCGGAUAACCCAUAUGGGAUUAGCUAGUCGGGUGGGGAAAGGCUCACCUAGGCGACGAUCUCUAGCUGGUCUGAGAGGAUGAUCAGCCACACGGGGACUGACACACGGCCAAGACUCCUACGGAGGAAGCAGUGGGGAAUAGUGCCCAAUGAGCGCAAGCCUGCUGCAGCCAUGAGGCGUGUAUUAAGAAGGCCUUAGGGUUGUAAAGUACUUGCAGCGGGGAGGCGUUACCCGCAGAGGAAGCACCGGCUAACUCCGUGCCAGCCGCCGCGGUAAUAC
rnacentral:rRNA from 1 species